rnacentral:rRNA from 2 species
UGGGGAAUAUUGCACAAUGGGGGAAACCCUGAUGCAGCAACGCCGCGUGAAGGAAGAAGUAUUUCGGUAUGUAAACUUCUAUCGACAGGGAAGAAACAAAUGACGGUACCUGAAUAAGAAGCACCGGCUAAAUACGUGCCAGCAGCCGCGGUAAUACGUAUGGUGCAAGCGUUAUCCGGAUUUACUGGGUGUAAAGGGUGAGUAGGCGGUCAUGCAAGUCAUAUGUGAAAUGUCAGGGCUUAACCUUGGCGCUGCAUAAGAAACUGUAUGACUAGAGUGCAGGAGAGGUAAGCGGAAUUCCUAGUGUAGCGGUGAAAUGCGUAGAUAUUAGGAAGAACACCGGUGGCGAAGGCGGCUUACUGGACUGUUACUGACGCUGAGUCACGAAAGCGUGGGGAGCAAACAGG